AACGAACGCUGGCGGCAGGCCUGACACAUGCAAGUCGAGCGAGGACUUCGGUUCUAGCGGCGGACGGGUGAGUAACGCGUGGGAAUGUGCCCUUCUCUACGGAAUAGCCCUGGGAAACUGGGAGUAAUACCGUAUACGCCCUAUUGGGGAAAGAUUUAUCGGAGAAGGAUCAGCCCGCGUUGGAUUAGGUAGUUGGUGGGGUAAUGGCCUACCAAGCCGACGAUCCAUAGCUGGUUUGAGAGGAUGAUCAGCCACACUGGGACUGAGACACGGCCCAGACUCCUACGGGAGGCAGCAGUGGGGAAUCUUAGACAAUGGGGGCAACCCUGAUCUAGCCAUGCCGCGUGAGUGAUGAAGGCCUUAGGGUUGUAAAGCUCUUUCAGCUGGGAAGAUAAUGACGGUACCAGCAGAAGAAGCCCCGGCUAACUCCGUG
rnacentral:rRNA from 1 species